GCCUGCUAGGAGGAGCGUCUCCACCAGCAGCAGGCCAGCCCCUGAGGGAGACAGCAGAGAGCUGGAGUCCUGGCCAGCCAGGCGGGGAUCCUUCAGCCGGACACAGGAGACACAGCAGGCAACAGGAGCUCAGAACGAAACACACAGAUUAGAUCCAGCUGACACUUCAGCAACACGGCUGUAAACUGCAGAGUCCACUCAUGCGUGGAUUUCCCUCUGCCUCGGCCGCCCCUGGGACAGCAACACCAGCCCACAGCUUCCUCCUCUGCAGCCUCCUCAGUGUGAAGGCCUGCUCAAGAAUGAAGACCUUUAUCAUGAGCCACUUCAACUUCACGAAUACUCUCGGCGACCCUGCUGAGUAACUUGUGGACUUUGUCGUCUGGCCAGUCAUGCAGGAUCCGGCACAGGACGUACAGCUCAGCGCUGGGGAGGGGGUCCCUGAAAAAGUCACCUGGUUUAAAGACAAAAGGAGACACGUCCG